GUGCCAGCACAGGGACAGUCCCUGCCCUGGGGCUGUGACACACCAUGGCUGGCACAGCCCAGGGGCCAUUGGCCUCUUGCCCACCUGACCAUCUUGGCCACCACAGCAUCCGUGAGGAGAACUGCUGAAGGGAUUUGGGUUCCCAGGCUUUGGAUUCAGCUGGAAUUGUCUAUUCUGGCUCAUUGUGUGGGCACAGCAGUGCCUGUGCUGGCACCAGGGAAGAUGCACUGAGAGGAAGGGAGGGAACAGGGCAAAUUGCCUCUCCCAGCUGUAGUUUUGGGGAUGUCAUUUUAAACUCUACCCAAACCCCUGGUUUUAGCUGCAAACCUUGUACACCAAUUCUAAUUGGUCAUCCAGGAUUUUAUGAACCCCAACUGACCUGAUUUAGGAUGAGCUGAACCACUACAAAGAUACUCAUUCACCCUUGCCCUGGAGAGCCACAUGACCAAUUAGACUAAAAGCCCCAAUUUUAACUUCUAGAGGUGAGAUGAGAAGAAUUCCAUCUAUAUGACCAACGUGUGACACUCCAAAGGUGUUGUGAGCCUGGCAAAUAAAUUCCUGCAGACCAGGGAUGUGAACAGCCACAACUGUGAGGAAAGAAUUCCUGCAGAACAGGGAUGUGAACAACCACAACUGUGAGGAAAGAAUUCCUGCAGAACAGGGAUGUGAACAGCCACAACUGUGAGGAAAGAAUUCCUGCAGAACAGGGAUGUGAACAGCCACAACUGUGAGGAAAGAAUUCCUGCAGAACAGGGAUGUGAACAGCCACAACUGUGAGGAAAGAAUUCCUGCAGAACAGGGAUGUGAACAGCCACAACUGUGAGGAAAGGCUGAGCAGCUGGGAGCUGAUGGACUCAGAGCACAGCAGCUCCUUCUUGAGGGAUAUUACUUGUGCUUUCAGAACAGAGUUAUAAAGACACAAAUAAUCCACCUCCUCUGGGAAA